UAACUUUUUCCUAAGUCAAACCUCUCUAAUUUUGACCAAGUUUUUAGACAAUACAUUAACAGCUACACGCUCAAAUAAAUGCACUAUCAAGACAUUUCAUGGAGAAUUUUAACGAAACUAAUUUGAUGUUGUAGAUGUUGGUCCAUUUUUCUAUAAACAUAGUUAAAGUUAGAGAAGUUUGAGUUAGGAAAAAGCUAA
rnacentral:pre_miRNA from 1 species